ACUUUUAAAGGAUGGUAGCUAUCCAUUGGCCUUAGGAG
rnacentral:tRNA from 1 species